CACAUCAUGACUUCUGAAACUGUUCCAGAAGAGAAGGUCCAAGUGGUCUGUUCAUUACUCAGAAUUAUUUCUGGAGCAAAUAACAGAGCCCCGCCACCCCACCAAGUAACUGUGACUUAAAAUAGAGAGAGGUGGACAUCUUUGCUGUUUACAACCCAGUGUUCUGUGAGACUUGGCCCCUGGCUCCCUUCAGCUCACACUUCCCCAUCCCUGGGGCAUGGUGGUCACGCUGAGCUCAGGAUGGUGACAGCGGCAGGAGAAAGGCAUGCGUGGAGGUGGGGCACAGGCAGGUGCUGGUUGUCUCCUAAGGAAAACACCCCACAACUGCCCACAACUCUUCUGCUUAAAUAUAUUAUUGGCUGGAACUCAGUUUCAUGACUUCAACUACCUUCAAGAGAGUCUGCAAAAUACAGUCUUUAUUUUAUUUCAAGACCCAUGGUUCUGGCUAAAAUAUCUAGCACCCUGGAAGAAGUGGAGAAAUACCAGCAAGCUCCAUCACAGCCUCCUUCACCAGCAGUUUAUGCUUGUCACAAAUCCUGUCCACAAAUAGAGCAUCCUGCGCGGCUGCUGAGUUUCUUAUCUCUCCCGGAAUUGUCUUCCUAAAGCAAUUGACUCAUGUUCCUCCAUGCUUUGAACCCUUCUGUGACUCUCCACUUUGGGAAGGAAGAAUUGCAAGUUCCUAUCCUGCCUCACAAUGGCACAGAAGAUUCAGACUGUGUGGUGAAGCUGCCCCACCUCCCCAAGCCACACUCACCCAUUUCCUUCUCAGCGAGGCUCCGGCAUUCUGCACCUACUACCACCACGGCUCUCAUGAGAUAAUACCACAUUGUUAAAUUCCAGGAGCAAGUGGCUGCUCGAACAAAGUGUAGACUCACAGAUGCAAAAGAACGUGGACGAAGGGACCUCAUAGCAUAGACCAGAGAGUUCAGCCAGGGCAUCGCUUCCAUAAGCACCGCAGGAAAGCCUAACGUAAUUUCUUGACUGCUACAUCUCCAUUCACACGCCCUUCAAUCAUCCACACUUUUGUGUACGUGGGAUGUUGUCAGAACCCCAAACUGCUGGACCUCGCAUCCUGACACGGCAAUCUUGACAGGUGACAUCCCAUCUGCUCGUGACAACAGCUCAUCCAGACUUCAGGGUAGGUCCCUGGCUCAGUCCUCCAUCCAAUCCUCACUCCCUCACCCAGACUGAAAGCCCAAGCAGAUCUUUCCAGCCAGCAGUGGCAACCUGGUUCCCUCUGCCAGCGGCCCUGAACACCCCGGCAGCCUCUCUACCUCCGCUUCUCCUUCAGUCCUUCUCCCCUCCCUCCACGUCCUGCUUAGAGCAUGUGGCUUGCAGGAUGCUAUUGGUCUGCGGUUUCUUGGAAGGGCCACACUGUUUCACUGUUUUCCUGUCUCUGCCCUGACUCACCAAGGUCCCUCUGCUGGGAUAACUUCUCCCACACCACCUUGUCUGAAUUGUUCACCGCUUCUUCAAAGACUUCCCCUCUCUCACAAGUGCAGCCUCUCCCGACAAAAGUGCAGAGCCCUGGAGCCCUGGGAAUCUGUAGCCUCCAUAGACCCGGGAUCUCUCUCAAGUCUCCAUCUGCAGGAACACUGGCUCCGGCGGGAGGAGAGCUGAUGAUUCUGUCCCCCAGUGGGAGGGGCAGGAAGUGGGGAAGGCUGGGUUCCUCCACCCCAGAUUGUAGUUUGUUUUCUCCCAAAGUGUUGAGAAUCAAGCACAUCUUUUACCUCAGAAAUUAAUUUCCUUCGGAAAACCCCCAUCUAAUCUAAGCAAGGCAUCCUUACUCCUCCCAUAUAACUCACUUUGACUUUACUUCUUGUGAGUUAAUCAUCCCGGACCCCACAGGGUCCCCGCCUGGAUUCCAUUUCCCAGCUCUCCCACAUUGACCAACAAUGAUGUUUUCCCCAAUCAUCUCUCCCUGAUCUCUAGGAUUCUGCCCUGGCCGUGGUGUGGGAUAUAAUGGGGUUUCUCUUCAAAUAAUCUGAUCAUCUUUUAUUCUUUAAUUCCUACUACCCGGCCCCCCCUUUUCUUCUUUUUCUCCUUUUUCCUCUUUGCCUUUGUUAGAUGCCUAGGCACGCCUCAGUACCAAACGUUAUCAGUACCAACUUACAUUCCUUUCCUUAUUUAAAAAAAAAAAA